AUUGAACGCUGGCGGCAGGCCUAACACAUGCAAGUCGAGCGAGCGGCGGGCGGGUGAGUAGUGUAUGGGGACCGCCCGAUAGAGGGGGAUAACCACUGGAAACGGUGGAUUAUAACGUAUACUAUCGGAUAACCCAUAUGGGAUUAGAUAGUAGGGGGGGUAAAGGCACACCUGGGCGGCGACCUCUAGCUGGUCUGAGAGGAUGAUCAGCCACACUGGAACUGUGACACGGCCCAAGCUCCUACGGAGGCAGCAGUGGGGAAUAUUGCACAAGGGGCGCAAGCCUGAUGCAGCCAUGCCGCGUGUGUGAAGAAGGCCUUAGGGUUGUAAAGUACUUUCAGCGGGGAGGCGUUACCCGCAGAAGAAGCACCGGCUAACUCCGUGCCAGCAGCCGCGGUAAUAC
rnacentral:rRNA from 1 species